AGAAUAUUGCACAAUGGACGAAAGUCUGAUGCAGCGACACCGCGUGAAGGAUGAAGGCCCUAGGGUUGUAAACUUCUUUUAUUAGGGAAUAGCAAGGAAGGUACCUAAUGAAUAAGCAACGGCUAACUACGUGCCAGCAGCCGCGGUAAUACGUAGGUUGCAAACGUUGUCCGGAAUCACUGGGCGUAAAGGGUCCGUAGGCGGUUUGAUAAGUCUCAUAUGAAAGCUUCAAGCUCAACUUGGAGAUGUUGUGAGAUACUGUCAGACUAGAGACUGUUAGAGGUAAGUGGAAUUCCAGGUGUAGUGGUGAAAUGCGUAGAUAUCUGGAGGAACACCAGUGGCGAAAGCGACUUACUGGGACAGUUCUGACGCUAAGGGACGAAAGCGUGGGGAGCGAACCGGAUUAGAUACCCGGGUAGUCCACGCUGUAAACGAUGAUUGCUAGGUUUUCGGGGCAUCGACCCCUCGUGAGCCGAAGUUAACGCGUUAAGCAAUCCGCCUGAGUAGUACGGCCGCAAGGCUAAAACUCAAAGGAAUUGACGGGGGACCGCACAAGCAGCGGAGCGUGUGGUUUAAUUCGAUGGUAAGCGAAGAACCUUACCAGGGUUUGACAUGUAAGUAGUACUGAACCGAAAGGGGAUGGACCCGCAAGGGAGCUUACACAGGUGUUGCAUGGUUGUCGUCAGCUCGUGCCGUGAGGUGUUGGGUUAAGUCCCGCAACGAGCGCAACCCUCUUUGUUAGUUGCACUCUCUAACGAUACUGCCCUUAAAAGGGAGGAAGGUGGGGAUGACGUCAAAUCAUCAUGGCUCUUACACCCUGGGCUACACACACGCUACAAUGGCAAGUACAGACGGUCGCCAACCCGCGAGGGGGAGCUAAUCCGAUAAAACUUGUCUCAGUUGGGAUUGCAGGCUGAAAUUCGCCUGCAUGAACGUGGAGUUGCUAGUAAACGCAGGUCAGCACACUGCGUUGAAUACGUUCCCGGUCCUUGUACACACCGCCCGUCACGUCAUGGAAGUUGGUAACACUUGAAGUCGUUGCGCUAACCCUUUGGGAGGCAGACGCCGAGAGUGGGACUGAUGACUGGGACGAAGUCGUAACAAGGUAGCUGUACCGGAAGGUGCG
rnacentral:rRNA from 1 species